ACCGAGAGACGGGGUCUAAUCGGCCCCACUCUUCACCCGUGCAUACCUGUCUUUUGUUGCUUUGGCGGGCCGUCGAGCUUGACCGCUCGGCGCCAGCUGGAAGGCUAGCGCCCUCCGCCUAGCGAGUGUUCGCCAGCGGCCUUCAACACUCCAUUUCAGUGAUGUCCGAGGAAACCAAGCAAUAGUUAAAACUUUCAACAACGGAUCUCUUGGUUCUGGCAUCGAUGAAGAACGCAGCGAAAUGCGAUAAGUAAUGUGAAUUGCAGAAUUCAGUGAAUCAUCGAAUCUUUGAACGCACAUUGCGCCCUCUGGUAUUCCGGGGGGCAUGCCUGUUCGAGCGUCAUUAUACCCCUCAAGCCAUGCUUGGUACUGGGUGCAGCCCCCGCGGCUCGCCCGAAAGACAGUGGUGGCUCCCCGAGACUCCGAGCGUAGCAAGAUAUUCCAUCCCGCCACGGUAGCCUCUCGGUGGGUCCGACCAACCAAAACACAAGUUCUUACUUCCACGAUUGACCUCGGAUCAGGUAGGGAUACCCGCUGAACUUAA
rnacentral:rRNA from 1 species